rnacentral:rRNA from 1 species
UGGGGAAUAUUGGGCAAUGGGCGCAAGCCUGACCCAGCAACGCCGCGUGAAGGAAGAAGGCUUUCGGGUUGUAAACUUCUUUUGUCAGGGACGAGGAGAAGACGGUACCUGACGAAUAAGCCACGGCUAACUACGUGCCAGCAGCCGCGGUAAUACGUAGGUGGCAAGCGUUGUCCGGAUUUACUGGGUGUAAAGGGCGUGUAGCCGGGUCGGCAAGUCAGAUGUGAAAUCCACGGGCUUAACUCGUGAACUGCAUUUGAAACUGUUGAUCUUGAGUAUCGGAGAGGCAAUCGGAAUUCCUAGUGUAGCGGUGAAAUGCGUAGAUAUUAGGAGGAACACCAGUGGCGAAGGCGGAUUGCUGGACGACAACUGACGGUGAGGCGCGAAAGCGUGGGGAGCAAACAGG